UGGGGUACCCUCAAAGCUAUGCUGUACUUUUCAUGCAUUUUAAAAUGGUCAAUUUGACAUAUGUGAUUGGCUGUGGCAUUCUGAGAGAAACAAGGCCUCUUGUGAAUAAUGCAUAUAUGCAUUAUUAGCAUUUUCUAAUACUCUUUCAAGAAGCAGCCUAUAGGCUGCUCCCCGAAGAAGUGACCACCUUUGCUUACGCUACGUGGCAGUCUGGUCCAGUUUACUUAACCUGUCUGCCAUCUAUGCACGAAAAGGAGGAGAGAAGCGAAAAAAGGGACCUUCGAUUUAUGUUUUUGCACAGAUGGCUCAUACAUUGCACUUUUCUUAUCUCGCAUGCUUUGUUAACUCAAAGCUUUCUAUGGGCGAAUAUCAGCAUUUCAUUCCUAUUUAUACCUAAUAAGAAUUACUUAGUUCACAGUGUCACUUUUUAUAUUAUACUUUUGUGAGACUAAGCUCACUUGUUUUAAUGCAAGUGUGGCUGGGCCUGCAGAAAGAGUAAGCAGACUACUGUGUUGCUGAUCAGUGCUGAUCUCCACGUCCGAGCUGGUCCCACAACAUCCAGGCACCACUGUGCUUUGCUUCAUUGACAAGGUGUGGCUGGGCCUGCAGAAAAGCUGUAAGGAGACUGCAGUGUUGCUGAUCAGUGCUGAUCUCCACGUCCGAGCUGGUCCCACAACAUCCAGGCACCACUGUGCUUUCACAAGAUGCAUACGAGCACUGUUUCAAAAACACCGAGCACUGCGGAUACGGAGGCAAGGAGGCUGAAGGACCUGAACAAGCACCUGGCCACCAUGCUUCGGAAUACAAAAUAAAG